AACGAACGCUGGCGGCAGGCCUAACACAUGCAAGUCGAACGCCCUAGCACUAGGGAGUGGCAGACGGGUGAGUAACGCGUGGGAAUAUCCCCCUCAGUACGGAAUAGCCCAGGGAAACUUGGAGUAAUAUCGUAUACGUCCGUGAGGAGAAAGAUUUAUCGCUGAGGGAUUAGCCCGCGUAGGAUUAGCUAGGUGGUGAGGUAAAGGCUCACCAAGGCGACGAUACUUAGCUGGUGUGAGAGGACGAUCAGCCACACUGGGACUGAGACACGGCCCAGACUCCUACGGGAGGCAGCAGUGGGGAAUAUUGGACAAUGGGCGCAAGCCUGAUCCAGCCAUGCCGCGCGAGUGAAGAAGGCCUUAGGGUUGUAAAGCUCUUUUGGCGGGGACGAUAAUGACGGUACCCGCAGAAUAAGCCCCGGCUAACUUCGUGCCAGCCGCCGCGGUAAAAC
rnacentral:rRNA from 1 species